rnacentral:rRNA from 1 species
CGGGAUGGACGCACCGCUGGUGUACCAGUUGUUCCGCCAGGAGCAUAGCUGGGUAGCUAUGUGCGGAAGGGAUAAGCGCUGAAAGCAUCUAAGCGUGAAGCCCCCCUCAAGAUGAGAUUUCCCAAUUAGUAAGACCCCUUGAAGACGACGAGGUAGAUAGGUUGGAGGUGGAAGCACAGCAAUGUGUGGAGCUGACCAAUACUAAUCGGUCGAGGGCUUAUCCUAAUU